GACGAACGCUGGCGGCGUGCCUAAUACAUGCAAGUAGGACGCAGUUGCGAACGGGUGAGUAACGCGUAGGUAACUGCCUCUUAGAGGGGGAUAACUAUUGGAAACGAUAGCUAAUACCGCAUACUAGUAGAUGGACCUGCGUUGUAUUAGCUAGUAGGGAGGGUAAUGGCCUACCUAGGCGACGAUACCUAGCCGCCCUUAGAGGGGGAACGGACACCAUGUGACUGAGACACGGCCCAGACUCCUAAGGGAGGCAGCAGUAGGGAAUCUUCGGCAAUGGGGGGAAACCUGAACGAGCAACGCCGCGUGAGUUGAGAAGGUUUUCGGAUCGUAAAGCUUUGUUGGUAAGGAAGCGGUACUUAACCAGAAAGGGACGGCUAACUACGUGCCAGCAGCCGCGGUAAUUC
rnacentral:rRNA from 1 species